rfam:Cephalotus follicularis DNA, scaffold: scaffold241, isolate: St1.
UUUGUUUUGAUGGGAAGCUACCAUGUAAGAAGGUCCCACUUGUUUUGUGGUCUUCAGUGAAAUUUACGUGUUACCCUUUUCUUCUUAGCUUU